rfam:Salmo salar isolate Sally breed double haploid chromosome ssa22, whole genome shotgun sequence.
AAAUGCACUAACUGUAAGUCGCUCUGGAUAAGAGCGUCCGCUAAAUGACUCAAA